GGCAACCGGCUCGGGUCUCCUUACGCACUGUGGAAGCUUUGUUCCUUCGCUCUUUGCAAUAAAUCUUGCUACUGCUCACACUUUGGGUCCACACUGCCUUUAUGAGCUGUAACACUCACCGGGAAGGCCUGCAGCUUCACUCCUGAGCCAGCGAGACCACGAGCCCACCAGGAGGAACGAACAACUCCAGAGGCGCCGCCUUAAGAGCUGUAACCCGGCAAAGGUCUGCAGCUUCACUCCUGAGCCAGGGAGACCACGAACCCACCAGAAGGAAGAAACUCCAAACACAUCCGAACAUCAGAAGGAACAAACUCCAGACGCGCCACCUUAAGAGCUGUAACACUCACUGGGAGGGUCCGCGGCUUCAUUCUUGAAGUCAGUGAGACCAAGAACCCACCAAUUCCGGACACAUAACCACUAUGCUAGACCAGAUACAGGAAAUCUUCAUAACCUCAGGAAGUUCUCCUGUGCCUCUUUGCAGUCACUUCCUCUCCGUGUCUUCCUCCCACCCCCGCCAUCUGAGGCAACCACAACUGGAAUUUCUAUCAUAUUGUGUUAAAUUACUACUUCUAGAAAUUCAUGUAAAUGAAAUCAACCAGAAUGUGAUGUUUUCAGACAUGCAAUGAUUAAGAAUUAUAUCAUGGAAAAUUGGGUAAUCAUCCCCUGAAACAAGAGAGAAGAUCCUGAAGUUUAGAGAAAAAAGAAUAAAAAGAAACGAACAAAGCCUCCAAGAAAUAUGGGGCUAUGUGAAAAGACCAAAUCUACGUCUGAUUGGUGUACCUGAAAGUGAUGGGGAGAAUGGAACCAAGUUGGAAAACACUCUGCAGGAUGUUAUCCAGGAGAACUUCCCCAAUCUAGCAAGGCAGGCCAACAUUCAAAUUCAGGAAAUACAGAGAAUGCCACAAAGAUACUCCUCGAGAAGAGCAACACCAAGACACAUAAUUGACAGAUUCACCAAAGUUGAAAUGAAGGAAAAAAUGUUAAGGGCAGACAGAGAGAAAGGUCGGGUUACCCACAAAGGGAAGCCCAUCAGACUAACAGCUGAUCUCUGGGCAGAAACUCUACAAGCCAGAAGAGAGUGGGGGCCAAUAUUCAACAUUCUUAAAGAAAAGAAUUUUCAACCCAGAAUUUCAUAUCCAGCCAAACUAAGCUUUAUAAGUGAAGGAGAAAUAAAAUCCUUUACAGACAAGCAACUGCUGAGAGAUUUUGUCACCAUCAGGCCUGCUCUAAAAGAGCUCCUGAAGGAAGUACUAAACAUGGAAAGGAACAAACAGUACCAGCCACUGCAAAAACAUGCCAAAUUGUAAAGACCAUCGAGGCUAGGAAGAAACUGCAUCAACUAACGAGCAAAAUAACCAGCUAACAUCAUAAUGACAGGAUCAAAUUCACACAUAACAAUAUUAACCUUAAAUGUAAAUGGGCUAAGAUCCUAAAUCUAAAAGAGUUUAGAUCAUUUGCUCUGGUACUUGCUGCUUACAGAUACUGAAGUUCCAAGAAAACCCCAGUUUAUCUGAUUGCUGAACUGACAUCAAAACCUUACCUCCACAGAGGCAGCUUGGAGUACUGAGUAUACUGUAAUUCCUCAACCAAUCUGGGGAAUAAAGGAGAGAAACACGUUUGAUGGUGCCGGGAGAAGGAAGUUAUACAUAUUCUUGCAGAUAAUUUUCAAUCUCUGAUUCUCACUCAACGUAAUUCUUAAGAACUAUUUUUGUGCUAUUUUUGAAAGCAGAUAUAUGAUCUCUGGUUGUUUUGUGAUCCCAGGAUCUACUGAGAUGUAUAGCAUAAGAAGUUAUACACAUCCUGGAUUUUGGGUGAUAAAAGUACUUCUUCCAUGAAAUUGCUGGGGGUUAAGUGAGAUAACAGUAAGUUUCUUUGUAAAGAGAUUAUUGUAAGCAUUUAUAACGAGAAGUACUAUGUUGCUGUUCCUCUUAUCUGUAUCCUGGUCAUCAUUGUUAGAAAAGGGCAAACACUUUUUUUCCCAUUUCUUAACUUCCAGAAAGAGAAGUUGUCCCAGAGUACAUUAUAUGUCUCUCUUGUCUUUUUACUCUUUUCACCUUUAGGGAAUUGAAAUAAUUUAUUUUUAAGUCAGUAACUGUGACAGAAGAACACAAAAUCACUGGAUGAGAGAAAUAGAUAAUUUUUAAAGCAAAAAGAUCAGGCAGAGCAGCAUCUUGCAUCAGUUCCUAGCACCCCAGUUCCCACAGGGCAAUAUGAUGAAGGCCAAGUGUUACCUGUGUGUGUAGAGGGUUACAUCACAGGACAGGAACCGUGACAAUAGGAGACUGACUUUCUGUGGGGCUGGUGGCACAUCUACCUUUCUUGUUACGAGAGACAGAGAAAGAGUGAGAGAGACAGAAAAAACAUAUUACCCUUGUAUAGAAGCAAAUAUCUUCAGGAAGGAGAAAAAGAGGAUAUUACGAUUAUUUAUCCUUAGAUAGUUCUGGGAAGGUUUGUCUUCAUAUCUCUCUGGAGGCAUACGUUAUCUGUAAGACUGCUCUUCAAAGAAAGGCCCUCACCAUGUAGGUGCAUGGAAAGUCAUCUUUCAAUAGUAACCUAGUAGGAAAUCAAGAAAGAAUAAUUUACUAGAUUGAGCUCAGUUCUACCUUUUUACCUCAAACAGUGGCCUUUCCACUGGAAUCAUUGACGGUAUAGAGAAAAACUUGAUUCAGGAGGGUUAAUAAGCAUGAGGUUCCAGCAGCAGGUCCAGUUGGCUCUCACACACAUCGUUCAUAUUCAUCACAACAGCCCCAUGUCACCGAAGCAAUUAUUUUGUUCAAUAUGAUUUAUUUAAAAAUACAUGAAGAUGUAAUUUAGUUUGGAAACAUUUUCAUCCAAAAUCAUGAGAGUCAGUUUUAGAUGUUUAAAGCUAUUGCUUAUGUAUCAUCUCAACUAAUUUCUGGAAGUUGAUUUAAAAAAAAAAAACACUUUUGUAUUGGGUAACCCUCAUAUGAAUGUGUAAAUUGUUGCUGUUUUGUUAACUAACUUGUUUUUAGUUGUCUGGAUUGCAGCAGGGCCCAUUACUAAAGCAAAUAAUAGGGUGGCCCAACGUUUUACGACAAGAUAGAGAAGGAUCCUCUAAGCAUGUGAGAGGCUGAACGUUGAAAAAUAAGUAGGAGCUGACCAAGGUGGUAGGGGUAGAGUGAGGAGAAGGUUCUAAGUAUAAAGAAGAGCAAAGGAGUGAUCACUGCACUGAGAAAGGACUUGGAAAUGACGUGUCUCUGAAAAAAGGCCACUAUGGCAGAACUUCCUAAAGGAAGGGAAAAAGGCAUCAAUAUGAAGCCAGAGAAGGAAGCCAGAACUGGAUCCUAUAAGGACUUAGAGUGCAGGUUGAGGAUUGUACCCUUUAUCUUAAGAAUUACUAUAGUAUAGUAAUAAGGACACUGGGAUAAUUGCAUAAUCGAUUGCAAGAGAACAGAAAUUGAUGAGGAAACCAGUUAGCAGGCUAUAGCAGUUGUCCAAAUGAGGGACAUAAAUGGAAGAAACUUCCUGGGUUGGGCAGGAACUUUCCAAUAUAGAGACUUUCCCUCCACAGAAAGAAGAAAAACAGGUCCUCACUGCCCUAUAGGACAAACCAGAACACGACGGCCAGGAUUCAGCUCCUAACCAAUCAAAUAGAGGAUUCAAAAAUACCCAAUCAAGAGGAGGAUUGAAAAACAGACUCUUCUGAAUGGACAAAGGGAGAAUAUGGGAGGGAACAACAUGGGAAUAUAAGUCAGACUAGCAACGGCACCCUCUUCCGGGUCCCCUUCCACCACGUGGAAGCUUUACUUUUGGUUUGCUCAAUAAACUGCGCUGCUGCACACU
rnacentral:lncRNA from 1 species